UACAGAGGUCUCGAGCGUUAGGCGGAAUCACUGGGCUUAAAGCGUGUGUAGGUGGAUGCCUAAGUACCUUGUGAAAUCCCACGGCUUAACCGUGGAACUGCUUGGUAUACUGGGUGUCUUGAGUCACUCAGGGGCGAGCGGAACAAAUGGUGGAGCGGUGAAUUGCGUAGAUAUCAUUUGGAACGCCAAUGGUGAAAACAGCUCGCUGGGGGUGCACUGACACUGAGACACGAAGCCAGGGGAGCGAACGGGA
rnacentral:rRNA from 1 species